rnacentral:rRNA from 1 species
UGAGGAAUAUUGGGCAAUGCCCGAAAGGGUGACCCAGCAACGCCGCGUGGAGGAUGAAGGUCGUAAGAUUGUAAACUCCUGUUAGAGGGGAAGAAUAACUAAGUUUGGAGCUUAGUAUGACUGUACCCUCAGAGAAAGCCCCGGCUAACUACGUGCCAGCAGCCGCGGUAAUACGUAGGGGGCAAGCGUUGUCCGGAUUUACUGGGUGUAAAGGGCGCGCAGGCGGAAUGGAAAGUCAGUGGUGAAAUCCUACAGCUUAACUGUAGAACUUCCUUUGAUACUUUCAUUCUUGAGUUCGGGAGAGAGAGACGGAAUUCCAGGUGUAGUGGUGAAAUACGUAGAUAUCUGGAAGAACACCAGUUGCGAAGGCGGUCUCUUGGUCCGAUACUGACGCUGAGGCGCGAAAGCGUGGGGAGCAAACA